UAAGGAAUCUUCCACAAUGGGGGAAACCCUGAUGGAGCAACACCGCGUGAAGGAUGAAGGCCCUCGGGUCGUAAACUUCUUUUAUGAGUGAAGAAUAUGACGGUAACUCAUGAAUAAGGGUCGGCUAACUACGUGCCAGCAGCCGCGGUCAUACGUAGGACCCAAGCGUUAUCCGGAGUGACUGGGCGUAAAGAGUUGCGUAGGCGGACAAGUAAGCGAAUAGUAAAAUCUGGUGGCUCAACCAUCAACCUAUUGUUCGAACUGCUCGUCUCGAGAAUGGUAGAGGUAGCUGGAAUUUCUUGUGUAGGAGUGAAAUCCGUAGAUAUAAGAAGGAACACCAAUGGCGUAGGCAGGCUACUGGACCAUUUCUGACGCUGAGGCACGAAAGCGUGGGGAGCGAACC
rnacentral:rRNA from 1 species